rnacentral:rRNA from 1 species
GACGAACGCUGGCGGCGUGCCUAACACAUGCAAGUCGAACGAGGUCCAAGGAAGCUUGCUUCCUGACGACCUAGUGGCGAACGGGUGAGUAACACGUGAGAAACCUGCCUCGGAGUGGGGAAUAACUCGGGGAAACUCGAGCUAAUACCGCAUAUCUUCACAUGAUCGCAUGGUCGAGUGAAGAAAGAAUUUCGCUCUGAGAGGGUCUCGCGGCCUAUCAGCUUGUUGGUGGGGUAACGGCCCACCAAGGCAACGACGGGUAGCUGGUUUGAGAGGACGGUCAGCCACACUGGGACUGAGACACGGCCCAGACUCCUACGGGAGGCAGAAGUGGGGAAUCUUGCGCAAUGGGCGAAAGCCUGACGCAGCAACGCCGCGUGCGGGAUGACGGCCUUCGUGGUUGUAAACCGCUUUCAGCAGGGACGAAAAUGACGGUACCUGCAGAAGAAGCCCCGGCUAACUACGUGCCAGCCGCCGCAGUAA